UACGAAGGGGGCUAGCGUUGUUCGGAAUUACUGGGCGUAAAGGGCGCGUAGGCGGUCUGCUAAGCGUGCGGUGAAAGCCUGGGGCUCAACCCCAGGUCUGCCGUGCGAACUGGUGGACUAGAGCACUGUAGAGGCAGGUGGAAUUUCGGGUGUAGCGGUGGAAUGCGUAGAGAUCCGAAAGAACACCGGUGGCGAAGGCGGCCAUCUGGGCUACAACUGACGCUGAGGCGCGAGAGCGUGGGGAGCAAACAGG
rnacentral:rRNA from 1 species